rnacentral:rRNA from 1 species
UGGGGAAUAUUGCNNAAUGGGGGGAACCCUGACGCAGCCAUGCCGCGUGAAUGAAGAAGGCCUUAGGGUUGUAAAGUUCUUUCGGUAUUGAGGAAGGUUGAUGUGUUAAUAGCACAUCAAAUUGACGUUAAAUACAGAAGAAGCACCGGCUAACUCCGUGCCAGCAGCCGCGGUAAUACGGAGGGUGCGAGCGUUAAUCGGAAUAACUGGGCGUAAAGGGCACGCAGGCGGUUAUUUAAGUGAGGUGUGAAAGCCCCGGGCUUAACCUGGGAAUUGCAUUUCAGACUGGGUAACUAGAGUACUUUAGGGAGGGGUAGAAUUCCACGUGUAGCGGUGAAAUGCGUAGAGAUGUGGAGGAAUACCGAAGGCGAAGGCAGCCCCUUGGGAAUGUACUGACGCUCAUGUGCGAAAGCGUGGGGAGCAAACAGGAUUAGAUACCCUGGUAGUCCACGCUGUAAACGCUGUCGAUUUGGGGGUUGGGGUUUAACUCUGGCGCCCGUAGCUAACGUGAUAAAUCGACCGCCUGGGGAGUACGGCCGCAAGGUUA